UCGUAAGAAUUUAAUUUUGGUUCUGAUUGAACGUUUUUUCAGUAGUUUUAAGACAUGCAAAUCAUUGUUUUUGUUGAAAAAAAUAUUAAUUUUUAAUAUUAUAAUAAUAAAAAAACAAGGUGUAAGGGUGAGUAAAAAUAGAUUAGGUUCCUUAUAGUCUCUUUAAAUAGGAGAUUUUUUUAUUUCUCUUCAGUAAUACUGUUCAAAUAAAUAUUGUAGUUAAAUAUGAAUGCCAUAUUAAUUAAUUCUAAUUUAUAAUUUAAUUAAUUAAACUAAUAUAAAUUAGGUACAGUUAAUUCUUAAUUAAUUAAUUGGUAUGAGAGAAUACUAAAAAAAAAUAAUAUAACUAAAAGAUAUUAUUAAUUAACACUUAAUAAUAUUAACACAACUUUUAGGUUCUAAACUGGUAUUUAAUUAUUAAAAUUUUUUUUAGGAUAAUAAAAAAUAAUAAAUUAGCAUUUAUAUAAAGGAAAUUUUCUGCUAUAAGAUCCGAUCUAUUCUGAUUAGAGGUAGUUGGUGGAGUAAAAGCCUAUCCAAGCUAACGAUCAGUAGCUAAGUUUGAUAGAACAAAUGGCCACAUGGGUAAAGAAAAAAUACUCAGUAGUAUAUUACUACCAGCAGUCGAGAAUAUUAGUCAAUGCUCGAAAGAGUGAACUAGCUAACUGAAAUCGCAAUAUCGUUACUACUACUAUACUGUGACGGUAGCGUGAUAAGGUAAGGGAAAAUAAUUAUGAUAAUAGCUUACUAUUAGUGUUGUCUAAAACUGGUGCCAGAAGACUCGGUAAGGCCAGAAACACAAACGUUAAUCCUAAUAACCAGGCGUAAAGGGUUCGUAGGCAGCUUUUAAAAUAAAAAUUUAUUUUAGCUAUAUAAAAAUAUAUAAUUAUAUUAUUAUAUUAAAUUUUUAAGUUUGAAGAUAUAAUCAAAGAGAGGUUUAGCCGAUAAAUGCUUAGAGUAAGGUUUAUAUCUAUAGAUACUAGGUAGAGUUCUUAUGGUGAAAGCUAUUUUUCCACUAUUGAUUGAAGCUGAGGAACGAAGGUUUGAACAGAAAAUAGGAUUUGAUACCCAGAUAUCUCUUACUGUCAACUAUGAAUGGUAGUCAUUAGUUUUUAUAACUAGUUUCAAAGCUAACGCGUUAACCAUUCCGCCUUGAGAGUACGGUUGCAAAACUUAAACCAAAAAAAUUAGUCGGUCUCGAAGGAAACGGAAUGAAGCAUGUUAUUUAAUACGAUAAUCCGCGUAAAAUCUUACCAGUUCUUGUAUAGCUAGUAUAAUCUUAAAAUAACUAAUUUUAAUUAGUAAUUUCUUUUAUUAUAUGACAAAAUUUAUUAAUUAAAUCUUUUUUUUAAUAAAUUGUUUACAGGUGUUGCAUGGCUGUCGUCAGUCCGUACUUUAAGGAGUUAGGUUUGUUCCACAAACGGACGAAAUCCCUAUUGUAAAUUUAUACUUUACAAUUUUGUGUUUUUUAAAUAAAUUCAUUUGGGGCAAAGACAAGUCGUUAUGGUCCUAAUGAACUGGGCUAUAGACGUGCCACGAUAACUUUUACAAAGUGAUGCAAAUUUGGACUUUUUAUUUUUAAUUUUUAAUUUUUUAAUUAAUUAUUUUGAUUAAUACACAAGUCUGUAUAAAAUUAGCUAAUCAUUAAAAAAAGUUACGUCUAAUAAAUAAUAGACGAAUUGUUACCUGAAAUUCGGUAGCAUGAAGAAGGAAUUUCGAGUAAUCGUUGAUCACAAGCGCAACGGUGAAGGUCAAAAAUUCGUGAUGAACUAACUGUCUGUCACUGGGAAGGAGCUCGGGUAGGGGGAAAUUGCUAUUAAUUAAUAACUUUUACAAAAAUUAGUUUUUUUGAUAUUACUUUAAUAUCUAACUUUAAUAAUUUACGUUGAUAUUUUUAUACACAUCUUUAUUUACUUUUAAUUUUUUUAUUUUAAGAUAAAUUAAACAUUUUUGUGUAAGCUUAAUUAAUCUUAAAUAACUCACUUGGGUAACAUUUCAAAAGUCAUAGCAAGGUAGCUGUACUGGAAAGUGCUGCUGUAAUAUAAAUACAAUCUCAUAUCAACCCC
rnacentral:rRNA from 1 species